UUGAUCAUAUUUCACAUUUUAUUGUGUCAUGUAGUGCGGGGCGCUGGUCUUGGUCUUGUCUUGGUCUCGGGUUAGUUGAUCUUGACUGCAAUACUGGCCUGCAUUACUCUAGAGAAAUGUGACAUGGGUAAAUCUAAGUGAUGUUAGUUUUUAAUAUAGUAUAGAUGAUUGAAUGUAUUAAUAAUUUUACUCUAACAUCAGCAGAUCUGCUGAUGGCAUUGACCUCCCACUGGUGUGAAGUAGCUUUGUUUUUAAAGGUUAAGUGAACAGUUGUAGUAAGGUUCACCUGUUUCUACCUGAGUUAUCCAGGUACAAUGUUAAAAAUUUAUUGUACAACUUGUGUAAACUUGGACAAUUUUUACAAUAAAUCUUUAUAAAAAUGACAAGCCUUAGUGGGAACUUUGAAACACUUAAGCUCACUAGUAUUUAUUUGGAUGCAGUGGUAGAACUCUAGUCACCAUCACUGUACUGUAACUUCACAUUGUAGAUGCUAUUAGUGAUCAUCUACUGAGUUCUGUAUGAGCUGCUUGGACCAGUUUGAUACUUGAGUCAUUCAAGUGGCUGAAUUUUGAAUAGAACAUUUCUGUGAUGAUACAUAUGACUUAUGACGAUACAUAUGGCUGUUACUGACACUCUUUAGUCCUAUUUUGUCUCCAUGACGUAAAACCUUGUAGGGUUGUUUUAAAUGUUAAGUUAGCUACAAUGCUGAGGUUUAAGCACCUUCCUUAUCCAUGAAUUUCUCAUUUUGGUAGGAAAAUACAUGAAGGUAUUUCAAAGUGUGAGACAUAUACCAGCUUAAAGCAUAAUGAAAAUUUCUGAGCCAUUCAAUACAAACUAUGUCCAUGACUGGUGAACUGAGGGCUCAUAGAUAUCUCCCACACAUUUUGCUAAAUCUGAAUUUUAGCCUCUGGUCAGUUUGAAGAACAGAAAUAUGCACAUUUGUAAAGCAACAUUAAAAUUCAAUGUCGGUAGCCUUGAUGAGAAAGCCAAGCCAAUCUGAUACAACCAGAUAAGUAAAACAGUUUCAUCACUUCUCUCGCUCUCUCUCUCUCUCGCUCUUUGUCUGUUUGUGCUGGGAAAACAGUAUUUGCCCCUUUAAAUAUUUCUUCUGUUUUUGCAUCUUUCAUUGCACCAGCAACAAAAGGCGUGGUCUUCAGGGGGAUGGUGCCUAUCUCCAAAAGCAGUUUACAUCUGUGUUACAUUGUGGACAGGUCACCAGUCCAACACAGGCCAAGGUCAUCAAAUUUUACAAUUAAUCUAAAAAGAUCUGAGUAAAGACACAUAGCAAUCUUCAAAUGAUAGUUGCCUUUAAAAGCUAUGCUGGCCGUAUGUGUAUACAUAGUUCCACUUCCUGUCGCCCUGCAUUUCUAAUGUAUUGACUGUGAUCAACCAUAAUACCUAUAGACCGUCAUUAUUUGAGCUGAAGUGUUCUUGGGUUAAGCAGCAAGAUAAGCAUGAUACAACAAAUCCAUCACUGGCUCAAAGGAAUGAAAUGAUAUAUAUAUGUAUAUAAUUAAGUAAGGAUACCACAUAUGAACUAUUGUGCUCAUUCAUUCAUUCAUUCAGAAGUGCCAUUGUCCUGAACUGAACACAGCUGUUAAAUAAUCCUACUAGACCAACUGAACUCGUUUCAAGAAGGUUUUUAGAUUUUAGACUUCAGAUAAAUGAUGUGAUAAUGAAACUUCAUUGCUCCACUAAAUACUGUCUUUAAAAAUAUGCUAAUGCAAUUCAUUUUUUAAAUAUCUGCAAGCUAACACACUGGAUCAAACACGUUCUAUGUUAAUGGUGAAGAAAACCCUUUUAGAGAGCGACUUAAAGUAAUAUUGAUUUAUAAGGGAGUUGAACGUGUUAGGGAAUGUGUCGGUAGCUUAACAAGUUGAAUCUAUUUCUAAAGGAAGGAAAAAUGGCUGCAGAGUGAAUAAGCAAAUGAAUGUCAUUGUAAGAUAUAUUUAUGAAAUCUGUACAAUAUUCAGAGGUUUUAUUUUCCAGGUGUCUGAUCUGAGCCGUCUCUUAGUUCUUCUUUGUAUUUUCUCAUGCUGUGAUUUUUGAAUGUUUGUCAUAGAUGCUGUAUUACUGUACAUGAGCUUAUGUGUGAUUUCAUUUGUGAAGAAAAGAUACCAAAUAAACUACUGUCAUCCA